GAGAAACGGUCGACGAUGCUCAAGAUGGCGGCACCUCUCCUCUCGAGGACGUGGACUAACGGGAAGGGGUUUAUGUCAGACUUUUGGAAGAGAUGACGAAUCACGCGUGAAUUCUAAGAUACUUCCUCAACACUACUGGACCGACGAGUUACGAGGUUUGCGUCACAUAUGGUAGCGCCACCACGUCGCAGCGUACGGAAGUAAACGAUAACUUCAAAUCGUUAAAGUGAAAUUCGAUUGUGAGACGGUAAACGAGAAAAAUAACUGUCGGUUGUGUUGUGAGAAAAAUGCUAAGUCUGAGAAUGAAGAGUUUAUUAUUUCCUUCAGAAGUCUGCACAUCCGUUGCAAUUCGCAUGCCCAUAAAAUACUGUAUGCGUUAUACCAUUGGUAUAUAUUUUCUUUUAUGCAGAUGUACACAUAUUUAUAUAUAUAAAUAAUUUAGAUACUUAUAUAUACAUACAUAUAGUAUGUGUAUAUAUAUUAUGUAUAUAAUAACAGCGCGAUCAAAACCGUGAUAGAUUGUUUGACGAAUGGGGUGUGAUAUAAAUUACAAACUGCGUUCAUGAGGUGGCUAUAAUAAAAAGCGCCACGAGUUGUAUGCACUGUAAUAAAUAAACCGCGCGCCUAUGUACUAUAUGUACAUAUAACUACGA